rnacentral:piRNA from 1 species
UAGAAGGAUUGUUCGCGUAAG